AGCCUAUUUGCCCAUCUCUCCUUUGGCUCCAGAACAACAGCAUGAUGCCUGUGUGUUUACUUGACAAACUUUCUGGGAGAAGGCCCCCAACAAUUAUUAACUGGUUCUGAUCUGGACUAAGCUCUCAGAUUUACUGUGUCGUGGGAUGAUUUCAUUCCUGACAAAAUGAACAUGAGAUAUCUUGGAUUAGUUCUUCUUAUUUGGUUUCCAGGAGUGCUUCAUGCACAAAGUGCUGCACAGCCCUGUAGUGCUCCUAAACUGGAUGGUGGUUUCUUUGCCCCAAAGCAAGAGACUUAUUCUCAUGGAACGGAGCUCAGUUAUACCUGUGAUACUGGUCGUAAACCUGUGGUGAAGGGAUGGUGGGCAACAAGCACAUGUCAAACUGGAAAAUGGUCUCAUACACCACAGUGUAUAGACGAAGCAGCAUGCCUUCCACCAGAGAUGCCAAAUGCAAAAUACACAGAAAACCAAAAUGGUUGGUAUGAGGACGGACACAUUAUUAGGAUAACAUGUGACAAAGGAUAUGAACCCAAAGGCCAGGAUGUCACAGCCAUAUGUAUAAAUGGAACGUGGUUCUCUGUGCCGGUCUGUGAGAAAAGUAUCCUUGCAUGUGGUGAACCUCCUAAAAUCCCCCAUGCAGUCAUCAUUCAUCAGAGAUAUCAGGAGAUGUUUGCUGUAGAUUCAGAAGUGCAGUAUGAAUGUGAAGAUGGAUAUACUGUAGAGGGAGCAGAAAAAUCCAUCUUUUGCAUAGCUGGAACUUGGACUAAAGGACCACCGUGCAGAGCCAGACCAACUAUUGAACAUAGUGGAUCCACAGUGGGAAGAACAGGUUGGGAGGACACUGAACAAGGCAGAGGAACUGAAACAGGUGCCGUAGGAGGAUCUUCUGCCACCUCUGGCUCAAAUGACAGAGACAGUCAACCUGCAUUCAUGUCAAGCAUGGUGUGUAUUUUCUGUGAUCCAUCCUCCCGGUGAAGCUCAUCGCUGGCAGGUUGCCUUUUACACACGAGUCGGUUCAGACACCGUGACGUGUUACAGUGAUGGCAGUUGGUCAGACCUUCCCAUCUGCAAAGAGGCAUUCUGUGUCGUGGAUCAUACUAGACAUCGUUGGGACAACUUUCAACUAUCUGGAGUUGAAUAUAUCAAGGAAGGAGAGAAAAAGACAUUUCCAUGCAUUUAUUCUUCUAAUUGGAGGAGGGUUUUUCAGUGCAUUGAAGGAAGAAUACAGCAUACAAGCUGUUGUCAUUAUUAUGACAUUCAACGGGGUUUAUGCCGAUAAAGCACAAGAGAAGAACAACUGCUGGGCUGACAACAAAAGCCAAGUUGGAAACUUUUGAAAUACCUCCACCAUAAAACAACUACGCCCAAAAACA